rnacentral:rRNA from 1 species
CACGUAGGGUGCAAGCGUGGUCCGGAAUUAUUGGGCGUAAAGGGCUCGUAGGCGGUCCGUCACGUCGGGAGUGAAAACUCGGGGCUCAACCCCGAGCCUGCUUCCGAUACGGGCGGACUAGAGGUAGGUAGGGGAGAACGGAAUUCCUGGUGUAGCGGUGGAAUGCGCAGAUAUCAGGAGGAACACCGGUGGCGAAGGCGGUUCUCUGGGCCUUACCUGACGCUGAGGAGCGAAAGCGUGGGGAGCGAACAGG